AAUCAACGCUGGCGGCGUGCCUAACACAUGCAAGUCGGACGGAUCAGGUAUGACAGCUUGCUGUAGUGCCUGGUUAGUGGCGGACGGGUGAGUAACGCGUGAGGACCUACCCUGGAGAGGGGGAUAACGGCUGGAAACGGCUGCUAAUACCCCGUAAGCCUGAGGGUGAAAGGGAGCGAUCUGCUCCGGGGCGGCCUUGCGUCCUAUCAGCUAGUUGGUGGGGUAAUGGCCUACCAAGGCGAAGACGGGUAGCCGGCCUGAGAGGAUGAUCAGCCACACUGGAACUGAGACACGGUCCAGACUCCUACGGGAGGCAGCAGUGAGGAAUAUUGCGCAAUGGGGGCAACCCUGACGCAGCAACGCCGCGUGAGUGAGGAAGGUUUUCGGACUGUAAAGCUCUGUCGAGCGGGAAGAAGUGUACCAUGGCUAAUAUCCAUGAUAUUUGACGGUACCGCUAGAGGAAGCACCGGCUAACUCCGUGCCAGCAGCCG
rnacentral:rRNA from 1 species